UACGUAGGGGGCAAGCGUUGUCCGGAUUUAUUGGGCGUAAAGAGCGUGUAGGCGGCCAGGUAGGUCUGCUGUGAAAACUCGAGGCUUAACCUCGAGAUGUCGGCGGAAACCAUCUGGCUAGAGUCCGGAAGAGGAGAGCGGAAUUCCUGGUGUAGCGGUGAAAUGCGCAGAUAUCAGGGGGAACACCCGUGGCGAAGGCGGCUCUCUGGGACGGUACUGACGCUGAGACGCGAAAGCGUGGGGAGCGAACAGG
rnacentral:rRNA from 1 species